CAACCCUCAAGCCCCUCGGGGGGCCUGGCGUUGGGAGACGGCACCCCCCACCGGGUGCCGCCCCCGAAAGACAGUGGCGGCCCCGCCGUCUGCCUCCUCUGCGUAGUAGAAACACCUCGCACUGGGACGCGGCGCGGCCAUGCCGUAAAACCUCCAACUUCUGAAGG
rnacentral:misc_RNA from 1 species